rnacentral:rRNA from 1 species
GAGGAAUAUUGGUCAAUGGGCGCGAGCCUGAACCAGCCAAGUAGCGUGAAGGAUGACUGCCCUAUGGGUUGUAAACUUCUUUUAUAAGGGAAUAAAGUGAGGCACGUGUGCCUUAUUGUAUGUACCUUAGGAAUAAGCAUCGGCUAACUCCGUGCCAGCAGCCGCGGUAAUACGGAGGAUGCAAGCGUUAUCCGGAUUUAUUGGGUUUAAAGGGAGCGUAGGCGGACUAUUAAGUCAGCUGUGAAAGUUUACGGCUCAACCGUGAAAUUGCAGUUGAAACUGGUCGUCUUGAGUGCAGUAAAGGUGGGCGGAAUUCCUGGUGGAGCGGUGGAAUGCGCAGAUAUCAGGAGGAACACCAGUGGCGAAGGCGGUUCUCUGGACAUUUCCUGACGCUGAGAAGCGAAAGCGUGGGGAGCAAACA